ACCUAUGUUUUGUAUUUUUCCCUAAAACAUCCUUGAGUUUAGAUAACAUUGCGCAUAAAAUAGGGUGUUUUUAUGAAACGGUUAUUUUCAUACAAUUUUUUGAAAAAAAUAACAUCGUCUGUUUUAUGAGGUGAAUAUUCCUACCAGACGAUGGUGAUCCUAUGAGAUUCAGCAUAUUUGGCAACACUUGACAGCGGUGAGAACAUCGUUCAACUAUUUUUUCUGGCAUCUCUGUAUCAUGUUUAUUUACAUUUGAAAUGUCAUAAAUAUUGAGUGCACUUGGAGUGCACGAUGUGAAAAUAAAUUUCAUUCCGGAAAGUUAUUUUGUUUUCUUGUUUCGUCAACAACGACAUUUACUAGACAUUCACUGAUACGGAGCGUCUGAUUGGAGAUGUCGGAUCAAAUCCGGUCAACAUAUAGGUAGCAUAGGCAACAUAUUUUUGGUGCCCCUCCAUCGUUUUGCUGAAAUGGGAUCGAAGCGGAAAGCUAGAGCUCGGCUUCGCUACCACCACAAGCCGAAUUGACCGAUCGGUUGACCGACAAAAGCGCAAGGAGCAUAACGCCAACACCAUCCAGUGGAAGCAGCAAACGACCGCUUCGUAAACGAAUGCCUUUUUGGAAAAGUUGCGAUGGGACCGCCGCGGAAAAUUCCAAAUCAUAAGCAGACGAAGACUGCAGCUCAAGAAUGUAAUGAAGGUGUUACUGAUCUCCGAUACGACUCCGAAUAAAUCUGACCACAGCACUCAAUCGUGGGUCAUCUGAGCGACCCGCACGUAAUUUUCUGGUUGGCGUUUGAUCGCUUUUCGCAGCUUUUCAUAGCACCAUUGUACCACCACCGCUACUACCACCCAGAUCAGUCAAUCACACCAUGUACAAUACUAUGUAGCACUUGUCGCUUAAAUUAAACAUAGUGUGGAACCAAGGGGUGGGACGCUAAGCACAAUGUUCCAAGCACACAUUUUAAAAAUUUUACUCAUAAGUGUGGCACCGCGUGGCACACACUGUGGCACACUUUUGACAUUUGAAUGAUCAGAAUAAAAAAUACUGGCAACAUUGCUAAAUUUUUGUUUUGACUUAUGAAACGUGUGUAGCGUGACGUUACCAGACGUGAUAUGAGGACAAUAUUUACAUGCUUUCGACCGCGUUAAAAUAAUAGUACGUUCAGAUUAUGAGCUAUAUCACUUGAUAUAGCAAAUCUUGUCAUGAGAUGCCAUAUGCAGUAUUUCCAGUGAAAACUAGAUGUACAAACACUGAUGUCAAGAUGCUCUAUAUCAAGUGAUAUAGCUCAUAAUCUGAACGUACUAUAAGAGUGAAUUCACACGGGGGCAAUGUUUAUUUAUUCACAUGGGACAUGGGAACAAAAUAAUUAAAGGGAAGGAAGUAAAAAGAUAGUGUAGAUAUUUGCCUUUGUGUUUCAAUGCUUGAGGAGACUGUUCGAAAAUCACAAGAAAAUCGUUUUUUCAAAAGUGCUGUGCUUUUGUUCAACAAACAAUAGAUAACAUACAAUUCUCGCUUAACAAUUGAUUAGGGCCUACAAUGAAAAGUAAACAAAUUCAAUUUUAACACCCUUCGAUAGCAUCCUCUAAUAGCUACUAAUAGUAUAAAAAUGUUCCGCAUCUUCAAUUAAAUUACUUAGAAAAAACUAAUUUUUAAUUGGGCCUACAACGUGUUAUUUUCAAAAUAUGUGUAGGUCCACCCUAAAAAACGGCCAAGCCACUCGUUUUUUCUGUCUGGGAUAAGCCUUCUCCAACUUCGGGCCGAUAACGAGGUUUUUUUCCGAACCGUCAUCGGCCCGACCUCGGAGAGAGAAAAUUUCCCCUCCCGAAAAGCCUUAUCCCGUGUUUACUUUCAAAAAAUGCCAUAAACAAAGGGUCUAUGAAUGACAAGCAAAUGCAGAAUGACUUAUCAAGAAGGCCUAUUCCGGAGAAAAAAAUGAAAAUAGACUUAAACUCUUAUUUUAACGAUUUCGACACAUUUUUGCAUGUUUUCGAUACAAUUAAGGUUAUGGAUGGAUAAAUAGUGCUGAUUAUGUGCUUUUAGGAGUUUUUGCUGCUUAAAAUAUCAUAAACCUGGGAAAUAGGAAUAGAAAUUGUGAUGCAUUUUUUUCGAACGGCAUUUUCUCAGUGUUUACGUUUUGGCUGUAGGCCCUUUUCAAAUGUUACGCGAGAAUUGUCGUAUUGGAGAAGCUCGAAAUGAUACCUCCAAUUGGGGAAUAACGUAACGCUAAAAAUGGCAGUUUUCAAUCCCCUCCCCCUGUGACACUUUUUGCAUGAAUCAACUGAAAAUUUUGUAUGGACCGUCACACUUCAGGCAAUCCAGUCCUCCCAACAAGCGUCACGUAAUUUAUGGAUGUUCCUGUGCCCUUUGAGCCUAUAUUUUUGCCAAAUCUGCCAAAUCAUUAAGAUAAAAUAAACACUGAUACCGAUGCUAAUUAACGGGAGUUUUGGUAAUUUCUUUUAUUGGGUAGCAGUGGUACACCAUAUUUUCUGUCAAAUUGUUACCGUUGCGUACUAUUGCGUGCAAAGCGUAAGGAAAUACCACAAGAAUGAUCGCUGUUUCCGUUCCAAUCCGGCAUCUGAUAUCUGUUGGUUGGGUUGGGACACUUUGAAAUCUCAUCGUUAAGCCAACUUGGUCGCAAGACUGUUUUAAUGAUUUUGAUUUUUUCCCCAUCACGGCAAGCAGUUCACCGAAAACAAUUUGUCGGAAAGACCCCAUAAAAAGUUUGACAGCUCCAAAAUUUCACCAUCACUCGACGAAAUCGGGUGCCUUCCAAAUCGACCUAUUUUUGCACCGACGACGUCGAUUGUCGUAGGCUACAUAAUUUCGUCGCCAGAUUUAUUCAACGAUUAAGUCGCAAGCAAUCGGUUGCCUAUUUCAUCGGUUAAAUAAUCGAUUGAUUGUUUAUUUGGUGCUUAUUUUGAUCAUCUGAUUAAUGAACAGGCGCAAUCGGAUCCCUGUGUUCACAAACAUUGAAUAAACAAAGUAAGUAAAUAAUAUUUAUUUAUUGAAAUAUUGACCUUAUUUGUGAGAUUUUCAGAUCGAGACACAUUACGGAACAUCCAGGAAGACCGGGAUUUCAAGAUAAGUGAUAAAAUUUCAUCGAUUUUAACACAUGAAUGAAUGUUAUCCAGAAGACAUGAAAUGUUUUUAAUACAAUCUUUUAGAAUUUAUAUUUUUAUCGCAACAAGUUCAGUUGUCUUUUUUUUCAAGUUCUGCAGGAUAGGUUAUUUUAUUUCAUAGCAUAACAUACUGAUUUUUUUUUUAAAUCCUCAUUCAGAUUGCUAUCAGAAAUCCAGGUGAGUGAUCCUUGAUUUCAAUCUAGGAUACAAAUCACAAAAGCAUGAGGAUUACUACUCCUGGCCACGCCCAUCUUCGCGGUAACUUGGAAGGGGAAGGAAGUGUUGAUGUAGUACUUACUUAGUGAGAGCUUCCCGACUCAGCGACCCCGCAUAAGUACCACGGAGUUGGAUAUUGGGGAAGGUUUUCGUUGGGUCCAUGAUUUGCCUGUAGCUGAUAAUGUGACCAUGGUAGAUCUUACAAACCACGCAAACGUGUCUACCCAGCAUUACGGGGAAGGACAGGUUAAAGUAAUGUUGGUUUGUUUUGUGUGCUGACUUGUAUCGAAAUAGGUGCUUUCUUUGGCAUGUGUGUUUUCUGUAGAAGAAA